UUUUUUGUUUUAUAUUUUUGUUUCCCUUCUAUGUGACUUUACCGAAAGAACCAUGAAUAUGAAGACUCUGCAGUCACGAAAGCUUUAAAUUAAAGCUUUGACGUGCCCGUCCUCGAUCGUGCACUAGGUCAUGCUUUCCCCCCAGAAUUCUGUGCCGAAGGAGCGGAGUCAACGGAGUACUACCACCUCCUCGACGCCUGCCUCCUGAUGGCCGAGGAGCCCCUGCUCGGAUAUGAGCAGCUGUACAGCUGCUGCUGCUGCCCGGGCCUGUGCGGGCCUGAAUUAUCUGAGGUAGAACAGUUCCUAGUCGGGUUCUGGGAGGCGGCUGUCAAGGACAUCUGCCUCGAGAUGGAGGCGGCCAUGAAGCCACCUCAACGACCCCGGCAGAAAAGAGCAGCUGGACCCAACAGCAGCAGCUGCUUGGCUCAUCCCGCAAAGCGCCUCCGAGCUGCGGUGAGGGUGACGACACGGGCACAGAGGGCUUGCUCCUCCUUUGUGGCCGAGGUCUACAAAGUGGAAGCCACCUGACAGUCAACCUCUCAUAUUAUAAUGACUUUUGCAGGAGGCCUUCAAUCAGCAAGAAGCGCUGCCACGGGGAGAUUUUCAUCUGAAAAUCUUCUCUCCGCCUCCCCGACCAUUUCACCCCCCACUAUCACAAUAAGCCCCAACCCCCACCAUCACUAUUCACCCCGCCCUCCACCAUCACUAUACGAAGGGUAUUUGUUGGGGUGUGUGCGUGCACCUUCUAGCAACAGUCUGUUCAGAAGGAUGCACAAGGCCCCCCCAUGCGAGUGGUUCGUGUGCUGGGCUCCUCUCCGAUUCAUGCAGCACGGAGCACGUGACAUGCCGUGACGCCAGCCAAAUAGCUGCGUUCUUGCAACGCUCAAGAUUCCUGAAGAAUGACCUCAUACGAGAAAAUUGCACAGAAAGACAUGAAGCCUGCGAGGUCCUCCACAGCCGCUUGGGCCGAAGUGGUCGAGGACUACGAGGCGAACCAAGGUACUGAAUAUCUGUGAAAACGAGCUUUAUAGUUCAUCGUAUUCCUCCAGUAUGUAGAUUGAGAUUCUGAUCCGACCAAACCCCGCCCCGUGUAGCCGUAACAGACUUGGGGUAGGUGCUCAUCGCGAGUAACAAUCAACACCACCACUCACUUGCUUCAGUGGGAAACAACUUUGACGUGUAUUCUUGGUUCUUUCGGAAAGUCACGUAGAAGUA